rnacentral:rRNA from 1 species
CGCGAGCUGGGUUCAGAACGUCGUGAGACAGUUCGGUCCCUAUCCGUCGCGGGCGCAGGAAAUUUGAGAGGAGCUGUCCUUAGUACGAGAGGACCGGGAUGGACGCACCGCUGGUGUACCAGUUGUUCUGCCAAGGGCAUCGCUGGGUAGCUAUGUGCGGACGGGAUAAGUGCUGAAAGCAUCUAAGCAUGAAGCCCCCCUCAAGAUGAGAUUUCCCAUUCCGCAAGGAAGUAAGAUCCCUGAAAGAUGAUCAGGUUGAUAGGUCUGAGGUGGAAGCGUGGUGACACGUGGAGCUGACAGAUACUAAUAGAUCGAGGACUUAACCUAU